GCAGGCCUGGGUUAUCGGUAGAGCACUCCGGCUGAUUCGGAGAGGUCGUGGGUUCGUAUCCCACCGUCUGCA
rnacentral:tRNA from 1 species